rnacentral:rRNA from 1 species
AGCGGAGGAAAAGAAACUAACUAGGAUUCCCUUAGUAACGGCGAGUGAACCGGGAUGAGCUCAAAUUUAAAAUCUGGCGUCUUUCAGGCGUCCGAGUUGUAAUCUAUAGAGGCGUUUUUCCGCGCCGGACCGCGUCCAAGUCUCUUGGAAUAGAGUAUCAAAGAGGGUGACAAUCCCGUACUUGACGCGACAACCGGUGCUCUGUGAUACGUUCUCAAUGAGUCGAGUUGUUUGGGAAUGCAGCUCUAAAUGGGUGGUAAAUUCCAUCUAAGGCUAAAUAUUGGCGAGAGACCGAUAGCGAACAAGUACCGUGAGGGAAAGAUGAAAAGCACUUUGGAAAGAGAGUUAAACAGCACGUGAAAUUGUUAAAAGGGAAACGAUUGAAGUCAGUCGUGUGAAAGGUAUUCAGCCGUCUCUGGCGGUGUAUUUGCCUUUCACGGGUCAACAUCAGUUUGAUCCGGUAGAAAAAGGCGGGAGGAAGGUG